rnacentral:rRNA from 1 species
UACGAAGGGUGCAAGCGUUACUCGGAAUUACUGGGCGUAAAGCGUGCGUAGGUGGUUUGUUAAGUCUGUUGUGAAAGCCCCGGGCUCAACCUGGGAAUGGCAAUGGAUACUGGCAAGCUAGAGUGCGGUAGAGGGUAGUGGAAUUCCCGGUGUAGCGGUGAAAUGCGUAGAGAUCGGAAAGAACACCAACGGCGAAAGCACUCUGCUGGGCCGACACUGACACUGAGAGACGAAAGCUAGGGGAGCGAAUGGG